rnacentral:rRNA from 1 species
CGAACGGUAACAGGGAGCUUGCUCCGCUGACGAGUGGCGAACGGGUGAGUAAUAUAUCGGAACGUACCCAAGAGUGGGGGAUAACGUAGCGAAAGUUACGCUAAUACCGCAUACGAUCCAAGGAUGAAAGCAGGGGACCGCAAGGCCUUGUGCUCCUGGAGCGGCCGAUAUCUGAUUAGCUAGUUGGUAGGGUAAAGGCCUACCAAGGCAUCGAUCAGUAGCUGGUCUGAGAGGACGACCAGCCACACUGGAACUGAGACACGGUCCAGACUCCUACGGGAGGCAGCAGUGGGGAAUUUUGGACAAUGGGCGCAAGCCUGAUCCAGCAAUGCCGCGUGAGUGAAGAAGGCCUUCGGGUUGUAAAGCUCUUUUGUCAGGGAAGAAACGGGUGCGGCUAAUAUCUGCAUCUAAUGACGGUACCUGAAGAAUAAGCACCGGCUAACUACGUGCCAGCAGCCGCGGUAAUACGUAGGGUGCAAGCGUUAAUCGGAAUUACUGGGCGUAAAGCGUGCGCAGGCGGUUUUGUAAGUCUGUUGUGAAAUCCCCGGGCUUAACCUGGGAAUGGCAAUGGAGACUGCAAGGCUAGAGUUUGGCAGAGGGGGGUAGAAUUCCACGUGUAGCAGUGAAAUGCGUAGAGAUGUGGAGGAACACCGAUGGCGAAGGCAGCCCC